rnacentral:rRNA from 1 species
AUUGAACGCUGGCGGCAGGCCUAACACAUGCAAGUCGAACGAGUGGCGGACGGGUGAGUAAUAUCUGGGAAACUGCCUGAUGGAGGGGGAUAACUACUGGAAACGGUAGCUAAUACCGCAUACCAUCAGAUGUUCCCAGAUGGGAUUAGCUUGUUGGUGGGGUAAAGGCUCACCAAGGCGACGUUCCCUAGCUGGUCUGAGAGGAGGACCAGCCAAACUGGAACGGAGACCCGGGCCAGAUCCCUACGGGAGGCACCAGUGGGGAAUAUUGCAAAUUGGGCGCAAGCCUGAUGCAGCCAUGCGGCGUGGAUGAAGAAGGCCUUCGGGUUGUAAAGUACUUUCAGCGGGGAGGCGUUACUCGAAGAAGAAGCACCGGCUAACUCCGUGCCAGCAGCCGCGGUAAUAC